GUGAGCGCAAUGCGGGAAAACCGCUCGUUGCGUUCGACGAGGGGGCUCUGUGUAACGACAGAGUUCUACUCUAU
rfam:Ferroplasma sp. Type II genomic scaffold AMDT4_FER2S00059, whole genome shotgun sequence.